ensembl:lincRNA
CUGUCUCCUGGCUGGGAUGGAGGAUGGAGGAUGGAGGGAAAGUGGAGGAAGGAUUUGAGAGCCUCUGCUUCCAUGGUGCAAAUGGUCACUGGAAUAUGCAUGUGGACUUUGUGUGGUUAAGAAACUACAUACGCACAGUGGAGUAGUUACUGGGCCAGAGAGCUGAAGUUAACAAAGGAAGAGAUCAUUUCUGCCCCAACCCCUUUGGGCAACAGCACAGUUUCCCAAACUUAAACUAUUAGAAUACA